rnacentral:rRNA from 1 species
UACGUAGGAGGCAAGCGUUGUCCGGAAUUACUGGGUGUAAAGCGCGUGUAGGCGGCAGGCCAAGUCUGUGGUGAAAUCGCUCGGCUCAACUGGGCGGGGUCCAUGGAAACUGGUCAGCUGGAGGACGGUAGAGGUGAGUGGAAUUCCCGGUGUAGUGGUGAAAUGCGUAGAGAUCGGGAGGAACACCGAUGGCGAAGGCAGCCCCCUGGGAUGUGACUGACGCUCAUGUACGAAAGCGUGGGGAGCAAACAGG